GACGAACGCUGGCGGCGUGCUUAACACAUGCAAGUCGAACGGAAAGGCCCUGCUUUUGUGGGGUGCUCGAGUGGCGAACGGGUGAGUAACACGUGAGUAACCUGCCCUUGACUUUGGGAUAACUUCAGGAAACUGGGGCUAAUACCGGAUAGGAGCUCCUGCUGCAUGGUGGGGGUUGGAAAGUUUCGGCGGUUGGGGAUGGACUCGCGGCUUAUCAGCUUGUUGGUGGGGUAGUGGCUUACCAAGGCUUUGACGGGUAGCCGGCCUGAGAGGGUGACCGGCCACAUUGGGACUGAGAUACGGCCCAGACUCCUACGGGAGGCAGCAGUGGGGAAUAUUGGACAAUGGGCGGAAGCCUGAUGCAGCAACGCCGCGUGCGGGAUGACGGCCUUCGGGUUGUAAACCGCUUUCGCCUGUGACGAAGCGUGAGUGACGGUAAUGGGUAAAGAAGCACCGGCUAACUACGUG
rnacentral:rRNA from 1 species